rnacentral:lncRNA from 1 species
ACGGUAAACAACCCCAUAAUCUCCUGUAUAGUAAUAUGCUAUAUAUAUAUACAUAUAAAUAAAGCAUAUCAGGGUUAAAAAGAGGUGUUCACCAUAUGAGGGUCCGUUUGUGGAUCACGUAGACAACAUAUUAGGAGUUAUCAUGAUACUAUUAAAGGAUGUUCUAUUAAUUGCGUUUAUUAUAAGAUAUAUGUAUUAACCUACGUAUCAUUAGUAGAUAGUCUAUUGUGUGAAUGAGUAGGCGUAGGCCAAUGGUAUCUAGGCAUGCGCACUAACGGCGUGUCUAUUGGUCAGGAGGUCAUAACACUGGGGGGUAGGUGUGUCGGGUAUUCUGUGGAUCACCUAUAGGGGAUAUAUAUCGAACCAGUGCAGAAUGAAGAUACCCCUGAUCCUCCAAACACCCUGAUCCUCCAAACACCCUGAUCCUCCAAACGUCUGAGCGCUAGGCUAAGCUAGUAGACUCGUCAUAGCGGCUGCAGAAGAAAGGAGAAGAAAGAAAAACAGCUACUACAACCUGCACAACUAUGCCUACUGACUGUAAGUAUUCAUAUGAGUGUAAUAUGUUAUUAUUAUUAUUAUUAUAUCAUGACUAUGACCAUGUGUAUACGCGGCCCAUAUCUGAUUGAUACAUAGUUUUUCCGUAGUGAUUUCUGACGUCGGCUAUGAGAGCGUGAAAAGGCAUCAGGUUCCACGCGCACGUGCUGAUAUUCGGUUGAAUAAUCAAAGAUCGAUACUCGGUGAUCGGACCAAUGUGGGGGCCAGCAGUAGUUAUGGUGAGUUAUUAGUACACACGCUAUUAUCAUACAUGUAUUACAUCUAUUUUAUUGGGCAUUUAAUAAUGAAUAAAAAAAAAAUAAAGACCAGCCAACCCUAACC